CUCAUCCUAAGCUAACAUCUGUUGCCGAUCUUCCUUUUUUCCCUCCCCGAAGCCCCAGUGUGUGGUUGUAUGUCCUAAUGAAAUGGAGCUUGUUGGAGUUGAGAACAGACAGCAGAUCAGUCAACACCCUCAAUUUCCAGUUGAGACGAUGAAAGCUGAGAGGAGUAACAUGACUUCCCCAAGGUCACAAGCAUCAUCAUCAUCAUCAUCAUCAUCAAUACUCAAGGAGCGACGCUUGGGUCAUACCCAUGGCUAUCCCUGGUCACAGGAUAAAUUGGAACAAACAGAGCCCCAUGAUUGGAGAAAAGGUCCCUUGGAGCGACAAGGACUGAAGAAGUGAGUGUUUUGGAUAACAGCUGGUAAAAGAGGCCUCAAGCUCCAAAGCGUAGAUCUCAGUUGUAAAGCGCUGUGCCACCUUCGCUGAGGCCGGAAGUAAGAAAACUUUCUACCAAAGGACAGAUGGGACACCUCCCAGGAAAGCUUUCCCUAAAUUAUUUCUUCUAAGUAAAAGGAGAGACCUUUAGGAGGACGGUAGGAGGAGAGCAAAGGGAGUACUGAGCAGAUCUUCGUAGCCAGCAGGCUGUGAAUUCUUUUAUGACAAAGUGCUGUUACCGAGCACGGGCUUGCCACCUGAUGCCCACAGAAGCUGACACCGUGGCACCCUGGUUUUUGAGGGAAGAAAGGCUGUGCUGCUAGACGGAUCUGCAAGGUGACAGGAGGCAUACGCUCUCAGAUCUAUCUCCCCAUUCAGGGCUUGGGGCAAAAUUUCUGGGUUGAAAGGCAGUGUGGUCUGAAGUGUGGAGACAGGUGAUUGGAGGGGAGGGGAAGGGAGGUAACUCAUGAUCUGCGCAAGCGUAGUCAGACUUCAUGGCUCCUCGUAGGACCCAUGUUCACAAAAUGGUAGUGUGAGUUUUCAGCCCCUUGACCUCAAAAGGGUCACUUCUCAGGCAUUUGCACGGGCCCAGAUGAUGGACUGGUGGUUCCAGCCGGCCUGAACUCGACAAGGGGGAACUCUCAGAUCCUGAAAAACCACUCUUACUUACUCUGUGGAUAAGAUCGGGUCAGUUGAACUGGUCCUGAGGGCCACGGUUACAGUUCAGUCUGGAAUUUUUUCAUAUUUUGUGAAGGAGAAUAUAAAGCAGAUUGUCAUCUGUGUAAACACAGAACUUCAUGAGGAGAAAAAACUCCAAAAUCAUAUACUAUGACUCUUAAGAUAGAUCCUCUUUGAGCCAAAUAUAUGAAAAAGUAUGUAGAAAAAAAGGUGUAAGAGAGAAAUGACAUAGUCCCAGACACCUUGUUUCUUCCUCCACCUGCCUUGAUUGAAAUUCUAUUUAGCAAACUGUUACUGUUCUUAUAUUAAACUUUUAAGAUUUACUGCUAAAACUUCUAAUGAAAAGAACGUGCAAUUUAUCUUUUAAAUGAUAUUCCAGGCUGACUCUGUAUCUCAGGGGUUCAUCCUAUGGGGCUUCAUCUCUGGCCCUGAGGACUCUCUUCUGUGUCACGGGGGCCUAGACACCUGAGAACUGCACGUCUAGGACCUCCUCCCCAGCUGCUCUCCAGGCACGUCCUGCCAGUAGGAGGCAGUGCAGGGCAUAGGAAUGUGAAGGGGUGAGAGAAGGCUCUGUCAGAUCCUGCUUUUAGCCGUCACAGCGACAGCAGGGGCAGCCCGGCAGCCUCAGGUGUGUGGGGCCUAUGGACUCCUGACUCUGGCAGCAGCAAUGGUGAGGACAGCUGUGGGCUGCUGCAAUGGCGGUGACAGUGACGGCAGAGGCGACUGCAGGCUCCAGCAGCAUCAGUGGGAAAUUGUCUGUCCAGGGACGAUUGGCAAGUGGCUGGCUUUAAUGCUUCAUGUGGGAGAAGUGGGGAAAAUAAGGUUGCAAAAGUCGGAUGCAUCGAGACUUUGGAGAAGCUGACAAUGGGGCAGAGAGCUGUGCUGUCCGUCUGAGGGCGACGCGUGGGAGAGCUGGUGAGCUUCUCCAGUUACACCCAGAACUUAGACAUUCGGAGAUCAAAACGGGAUAUUCAUUUUUUCCCUGUGUGACAUAUUCUUUCACCUCGAAUCUCUUGUUCAUGGAUAGAGACAAGACCAGACUGUGGAAGAGCAGGGACAGACCCGUCUAGUGUCAUUUCCUGUGAGAGAACUUGUAAUACCUCUGUUAAUAAGAAUUCCUUACAUUUUUAUAGCAUUUUGUGAGAACUUCUAGUGUGCGUUAUUUAACUUAUCCUUGCAACAAAACUGCUGGGUAGGUUUAAUUAUGGUCCUGAUUUCACAAAUGAAGAAACGAAUAUUCGGACUGCUACGUGAUUUGCCCAAAGAUACACUGCUGGGGCAGAGCUGGGCUUCAGCCUUGGGGCAUCUGACUCCGUUUUCUUUUCAGUUUUCUCUGACGUAGUGUUUCUCUACCUUUACAAAGGUCUUAUCUCCUAUUUUGAGAAACUCAAAAAUUUCCGCCUCUUCUUUCAUGUUUACUAUAGAUUACUUUCUGAGCCUGUUGUGCUACGAAGAUUUCAUACACUCAUAAAUUUCGAUGUUGAAUAUGUGGAUACAUAAUGCUCAAGAAGGAGGCAGGGCUUCCUCCCUCUGCAGUCUCUGGUUCAGAAACACUGCCUUUUCAUCACAGUGCUGCUCUUUGUUAUUUUAGUUGGUCUUUAUGAUGACAAAAGAGUGCCAAUCCUAUUAUAUCUGAAGUUCCAGUUUUUAGUUACUAAUUUUUAUUCAUUUAUGAGUUAGCUAGAAUACAUCUUCAAGUUACUUUUCAAUAAACAUGGAAGGGAAUAUAUACUUAUAUUCAGAUUUUUGCACAUCUGAAAUGUGUAGAAAAUUCAGAUUGUUGCAUAUCUGAAAGCUCUUUCAUACAUGAGAAAGUGGCUGCUCACAAGUCUUGGAACACAAGCUUCUCCCUCAGAAGUCUCUAUAUGUAGCUGCACUGGCUUCUGGCAUUUAUUUUUGCAGACAAGCAUGAAGUUGUGGAAAUUAAUAAAGAGAAACCUCAUUAAAUUGGAGUCAGGAGGCCAAAAGGGGGAGCUCUCACUCCUUGUAUCUGAGCAGAGUCAAGAAGCUCAGCCCGUGAGAGACUGUCACAACUCAGCCAGCACGAAGCCACUAGGGGUGGUGCGAACUUGCAAUUCCUCCAGCGGACUCUGUUUACAUAGAGCCUCGCUUUCCUCUUCCCGUGUCUUAGAGCUUCUCCUCCUUGCUGCUGGGGGACUUGCCCCUGGCUCGCCAUGGUUGCAGACCCCAAACUGCAAUUCUUUGCUGAUCCCGAAUAAACCCAUUUGUACUGUAGAAAUAACUGGCUGUUUGUUUGUUUAAGGUCAACAAAGUCAACUGGUUUUGUUCCACUUACAUAACUAUUUUUGAUUUAUGCUUUGUUUUUUUUCUGGCUCCAAGGCUUUUUAAUUGUUGCAUAAAAAUUGCAACUAUCUUCUGGGUAUAAAUUCUCUUUUCACUAAA
ensembl:lncRNA